UACGAAGGGGGCUAGCGUUGUUCGGAAUCACUGGGCGUAAAGGGCGCGUAGGCGGCUUUAUAAGUCGGGGGUGAAAGCCUGUGGCUCAACCACAGAAUUGCCUUCGAUACUGUAGAGCUUGAGACCGGAAGAGGUAAGUGGAACUGCGAGUGUAGAGGUGAAAUUCGUAGAUAUUCGCAAGAACACCAAUGGCGAAGGCAGCUCGCUGGGACGUGACUGACGCUCAUGCACGAAAGCGUGGGGAGCAAACAGG
rnacentral:rRNA from 1 species